CGGAGGCGCGCUUUCAGCCAUAAUCACUUCCUAUUUACACGUUCGUUAUUAAAUCACUGAAUUAACAUCAAAAGGUAACGGCCCCCAGCUUCGGACGUCUGUCCCGGGCCACUGAGGGCCUCUCGGAGCCCAACUCAGGUCUCUCCAGCUGGGCUCUUCACUCAGAACAAUGGCCAGUGGACCUGAAUGAGGAAUGCUGAUCAUUUUGACCGAAAGCAUCAGAUUGGAAAGAAAAACUGGAAUCGGAAGUAAGAUCUGCACCUUUUACAACUUUCUUGUUUCUUAUGCAAAUCAACAAGAUUAAAUGGAG